rnacentral:rRNA from 1 species
GAUAAACGCUGGCGGCGUGCCUAAUACAUGCAAGUCGAGCGAACGGACGAGAAGCUUGCUUCUCUGAUGUUAGCGGCGGACGGGUGAGUAACACGUGGAUAACCUACCUAUAAGACUGGGAUAACUUCGGGAAACCGGAGCUAAUACCGGAUAAUAUUUUGAACCGCAUGGUUCAAAAGUGAAAGACGGUCUUGCUGUCACUUAUAGAUGGAUCCGCGCUGCAUUAGCUAGUUGGUAAGGUAACGGCUUACCAAGGCAACGAUGCAUAGCCGACCUGAGAGGGUGAUCGGCCACACUGGAACUGAGACACGGUCCAGACUCCUACGGGAGGCAGCAGUAGGGAAUCUUCCGCAAUGAGCGAAAGCCUGACGGAGCAACGCCGCGUGAGUGAUGAAGGUCUUCGGAUCGUAAAACUCUGUUAUUAGGGAAGAACAUAUGUGUAAGUAACUGUGCACAUCUUGACGGUACCUAAUCAGAAAGCCACGGCUAACUACGUGCCAGCAGCCGCGGUAAUACGUAGGUGGCAAGCGUUAUCCGGAAUUAUUGGGCGUAAAGCGCGCGUAGGCGGUUUUUUAAGUCUGAUGUGAAAGCCCACGGCUCAACCGUGGAGGGUCAUUGGAAACUGGAAAACUUGAGUGCAGAAGAGGAAAGUGGAAUUCCAUGUGUAGCGGUGAAAUGCGCAGAGAUAUGGAGGAACACCAGUGGCGAAGGCGACUUUCUGGUCUGUAACUGACGCUGAUGUGCGAAAGCGUGGGGAUCAAACAGGAUUAGAUACCCUGGUAGUCCACGCCGUAAACGAUGAGUGCUAAGUGUUAGGGGGUUUCCGCCCCUUAGUGCUGCAGCUAACGCAUUAAGCACUCCGCCUGGGGAGUACGACCGCAAGGUUGAAACUCAAAGGAAUUGACGGGGACCCGCACAAGCGGUGGAGCACGUGGUUUAAUUCGAAGCAACGCGAAGAACCUUACCAAAUCUUGACAUCCUUUGACAACUCUAGAGAUAGAGCCUUCCCCUUCGGGGGACAAAGUGACAGGUGGUGCAUGGUUGUCGUCAGCUCGUGUCGUGAGAUGUUGGGUUAAGUCCCGCAACGAGCGCAACCCUUAAGCUUAGUUGCCAUCAUUAAGUUGGGCACUCUAAGUUGACUGCCGGUGACAAACCGGAGGAGGGUGGGGAUGACGUCAAAUCAUCAUGCCCCUUAUGAUUUGGGCUACACACGUGCUACAAUGGACAAUACAAAGGGCAGCGAAACCGCGAGGUCAAGCAAAUCCCAUAAAGUUGUUCUCAGUUCGGAUUGUAGUCUGCAACUCGACUACAUGAAGCUGGAAUCGCUAGUAAUCGUAGAUCAGCAUGCUACGGUGAAUACGUUCCCGGGUCU